AGCAGCCGCGGUAAUUCCAGCUCCAAUAGCGUAUAUUAAAGUUGUUGCAGUUAAAAAGCUCGUAGUUGAACUUCGGGAUUUAUUCAUUGGUCAGGCUUAAUUGUCUGUACUGGUGAGAUAAAUCUCUACCUUCUGAGGAACUUUCAUGCCAUUUUAUUUGGUGUGAUUGGAAAUCAGGACUGUUACUUUGAAAAAUUAGAGUGUUUAAAGCAGGCUAACGUCUGAAUACAUUAGCAUGGAAUAAUGAAAUAGGACGGACUGGUUCUAUUUUGUUGGUUUCUAGGAUCACCGUAAUGAUUAAUAGGGAUAGUUGGGGGCAUUAGUAUUCAAUUGUCAGAGGUGAAAUUCUUAGGAUUUAUUGAAGACUAACUACUGCGAAAGCAUUUGCCAAGGAUGUUUU
rnacentral:rRNA from 1 species